AUGAUGAUGAUGAUGAUGUUACCGACUGUGCUGCUGACCACGCUGCUGUUUGGACUUGAUGGAUCAGGUGCGAGUCCAUCUGUGAGUCAGUCUCCUGCAUCAAAGUCUGUCAGUCUGGGGGAGACAGUCUUUCUGAGCUGUUCAGCCAGUACAGGAGUUGAUGAUUAUCUCAGCUGGUACCUGCAGAAACCUGGACAGCCUCCCAAACUGCUGUUUUAUAAAAUAAGUAGCCGUCAAUCUGAUACUCCGAGUCAUUUCAGCAGCAGUGGAUCUGAACCUGAAUUCACUCUGACUAUCAGUGGAGUCCAGGCUGAAGAUGCAGGAGAUUAUUACUGUAUGGGAGCAUAUAGGGGCCCAGUGAAUACACAGUGA